CCUACGGGAGGCAGCAGUGAGGAAUAUUGGUCAAUGGGCGGAAGCCUGAACCAGCCAAGUAGCGUGCAGGAUGACGGCCCUACGGGUUGUAAACUGCUUUUAUACGGGAAUAACGCGCCUUACGUGUAGGGCUUUGCAUGUACCGUAUGAAUCAGGACCGGCUAAUUCCGUGCGAGCAGCCGCGGUAAUACGGAAGGUCCGGGCGUUCUCCGGAUGUAUUGGGUUUAAGGGGAGCGUAGGCCGCAUGUCAUGCGUGCUGUGAAACGUCCGGGCUCAACCCGGGCCUGGCAGCGCGAACUGGCGUGCUUGAGUCCGCGGAAGGCAGGCGGAAUUCGUCGUGUAGCGGUGAAAUGCGUAGAUAUGACGAAGAACCCCGAUUGCGAAGGCAGCUUGCUGCAGCGGAACUGACGCUGAUGCUCGAAAGCGCGGGUAUCGAACAGGAUUAGAUACCCUAGUAGUC
rnacentral:rRNA from 1 species